ACAUGCAAGUCGAGCGGCGUAGCCAAUACGUCAGCGGCAGACGGGUGAGUAACGCGUGGGAACGUACCUUUUGGUUCGGAACAACACAGGGAAACUUGUGCUAAUACCGGAUAAGCCCUUACGGGGAAAGAUUUAUCGCCGAAAGAUCGGCCCGCGUCUGAUUAGCUAGUUGGUAGGGUAAUGGCCUACCAAGGCGACGAUCAGUAGCUGGUCUGAGAGGAUGAUCAGCCACAUUGGGACUGAGACACGGCCCAAACUCCUACGGGAGGCAGCAGUGGGGAAUAUUGGACAAUGGGCGCAAGCCUGAUCCAGCCAUGCCGCGUGAGUGAUGAAGGCCCUAGGGUUGUAAAGCUCUUUUGUGCGGGAAGAUAAUGACGGUACCGCAAGAAUAAGCCCCGGCUAACUUCGUGCCAGCAGCCGCGGUAAUACGAAGGGGGCUAGCGUUGCUCGGAAUCACUGGGCGUAAAGGGUGCGUAGGCGGGUCUUUAAGUCAGGGGUGAAAUCCUGGAGCUCAACUCCAGAACUGCCUUUGAUACUGAAGAUCUUGAGUUCGGGAGAGGUGAGUGGAACUGCGAGUGUAGAGGUGAAAUUCGUAGAUAUUCGCAAGAACACCAGUGGCGAAGGCGGCUCACUGGCCCGAAUCUGACGCUGAGGCACGA
rnacentral:rRNA from 1 species